rnacentral:tRNA from 1 species
UUAACAUAGCAAGGAAUUAUAGAUACACAAUAAAAGUGUUGACCAGGACUUAUAAAGGUUAAAUGACUUGCCCAGACUCAUUUAUGGUAAAGGCAAAAUUCUACCCUACAUCUGUCUCAAGACUCAUGCUCACAAUAUUAGUCUUUUUUUUUUUUGUACUGGGUAUUGAACCCAGGGGCACUUUACCACUGAGCUAUGUCCCAGCCCUUUUUUAUUUUUUAGUUUGAGAUGGGAUCUCACUAAGUUGCUGAGGGUCUUGCUAAGUUGCUGAGGCCAGCUUCUGUAGGAAGCCAUUCAUGAAAUACGUGAGAAUCUUCUCUGGCAUGAAGCCAGGGAGAUUUAGAUUUGGCCUUGGGAACCAUCUGUCACUCUCCCAUAGCAAUAGAUUGCCCAAUGCACGUGACCUUUAUCUCUGGUCUGCUAGGAAGAUCCCCCAUAGUAGCUCUGGAGAUGGGUGUAACCCUUUGGGAACUGGACAGCCCACCUUUAACCUUUUUUGAUGAAGAACAUUCUAUGGAAGGCCUUUGAUAUUUCCCAAUAUAAAUAAAGCAGGCACAGGCUCCAUUUUGCCAUAGUAUAGAAGCUCCAUCCGCUUGCCCGUCCUCCCCCACCCCUGGCGCCCCAAUUUUGAAACUAUUUUCUGUGUCCUUUGUUUUUUUCCAUUCUAUAUUUUUUCUAGCUUUUAUUUCUCAGCCAGCCUUUUCCACCAAGGGGAACCCCAUUUCCAUGGCCCUUGCGGGAUGUGGGCAAGAGGCUUCAAACAUACCAUCCUCCUACCUCAGCCUCCCAGAAUCAAAUGAGAUCAGGCAUGUAACACUGUGCCCAGCACAAUAUUAGUUUUAUUGCCAAUCCAUGCUGGAACUGCUUUCAGACUAUCUCACAAUCCCUCUCACUCUAGAAUGUUACACAAGCACUUGUAAUUCUUCAUAGCCAUGUGAAGAACAGAUUGACAUUCUCAUUUAAUAGCUAAGGAACCCUGCAUGGUUGCGCACACCUGUAAUCUCAGAGGCUCGGAGGUUGAGACAGGAGGAUUGUAAGUUCAAAGCCAGCUUCAGCAACAGUGGGACACUAAGCAACUCAGUGAGACCCUGUCUCUAAAUAAAAUACAAAAUAGGGCUGGGAAUGUGGCUCAAUGGUUGAGUGCCCCUGAGUUCAAAACCUUUCAAUACCUGGUAUCAAAAAAAAAAGCUAAGGAACCAGAGGCUCAGAGGAGGCUACUUUCCCAGGAUCACACAGAUUAAAAGCAGCACAGUGAAAAUUGAACUCAGCCCAACUGAUGCCAAAGCCUACAGGCCACUUGGAUAAAGCCAGAAAGAUUGCUUCUGAUGGCAUGAGUACUGUGAGCUCCAGUCCCCUGUGAUAGUGGGUUCACCUAUUUUUCUGGUGGGGUGAGUGGUCAUUAUGAAUGAUUAAAACUGAUACCCAGCUUGGGGCUGCUAUGCUAUCACUUUCUCCCCACUUUUCUAUUGACUUAAGCAGCAUAACCAGCUUGAGUAUCCUUCAAAACCCAGCCACUCCCUGGGAAGAUCUCCCACAGUCACCCUGGCAAUGUUACAUUAGUCCUAACUAAGCUCCUCUCCCAAGUCUAAUUUUGGCCAGUGGCCUAGUGAAGACAGCUGCUGAGGUCAGUAUCUGAAUAGAGAAAAGGGACUUGGCUAGGGUUUCAUUUGGAAUCUACCUAAUACUCCCUACCCUACAGCUUCAAGACAGAGCCUUGCUCUCUGUCCACUCUAAGGACUCAUCCUAGGGAGACAGUGGUCCUUUUGGGUGAAGCCUUCUAUGGUAGGUAGAAUAAUGCCUGUCCCCCAAAGAUGUCACUAAUUUCAUCCCUGGAAACCUAUGAAUUCGGCAAGUGGGAGUUAAGGUUGCAGAUGAUGUUAGGGUUGUGAGUUAGCUCACCUAAGAAGAUUAUCCUGGAUUAUCUAAUGGUCCCAGUGUAAUUACAGGGGCCCUUAAAUGUGAAAGAGGGAGGCUAAAGAGUCAGAGUGACGACAUGUAAAAAAGACUUGACCAGUCAUUUCUGGCUUUGAAGAUGGAAUGGGCUCAUGAGCAAGGAAUGCAGGCAGCCUCUCGAAGCUGGAAAGGGUAGGAAAAUAGAUCCACCCAGACAGACUCUAGAAAGGAAUACAUUGGCUGGGGUUGUGGCUCAGCAGUAGAGCGCUCACCUAGCAUGAGCAAGGCCCUGGGUUCAAUCCUCAGCACCCCACAAAAAUAAAAUAAAGAUAUUAUGUUCAACUACAACUAAAUUUUUUUUUAAAAAAAGAAAUGAAUACAGUCAUGUCAACACCUUGAUUUUAGCCAACAAGAUAAAUUUCAGACUUCCAGCCUCUAGAACUGUAAGCUAAUAAAUUUGUUUUAAGCUGUUAAAUUUGGUAAUUUGUUACAACAGCAAUAGGAGACUAAUAUAUAAUACCCCACUCCAAUUUGUAUAACUUUCCCUCCCCUAAAAUCCUAGCACUCAGAGUGUCCAAGGCUACACUUGGACUAACCUCAACCCAGCCUUGAGAUCAGUGACAGUCCAGUGAGACUGGCCAGUUUUCCCACCUGUUCUCAAUCGCCCAAGAGAAUGUAGUCACAUUUUGGUGAGGGGUGGGGCUCAUGCAUGACCAAGCUCAAGUAGAGCCUGGGAUGGUGAGGAACCUGCAUUUUAAUUGUGGUCCCUACAUUCCUGCUGAAGAUUUCUGCUGAUCUGGGAAGGAUGUUUUCAGGCAAAACAAGAAAAAUAAGGAUCAAGCUGUGAGUUUCUCAGUGAAUCCUUCACCCUGAUUCCAGUAACAGCCCCCUUAUUUUUGGAGUCACCCACUGGUUCUCAAAUGGUUCUGGUGGAGUUGAUUAUUCUGUCCAUAAGUUUUCGGUGAUUUAGGACUAAGUGAAUCAGCCCUGCCAUCCCGCUGGCCAUAGUUUAGGCUGGCCAAUAUGAGCCAAACCCAGAGCUUUGUUCCUUUAUUCCUUGGAGGAAAGUUCUUUCUUCCUGAACAGAAAUCUGAAAUAAUGCAUUCUGGGCCGUGGGGGGAAGGCUUCCUGAGUGUGGAACCUAGAUCAGAGAGGUAGGAAACUAGGGGAGCGGAUAAUUUCUUCAAAUAUAGUGUGUAUCCAUUUUUUGUAGUUACGGGAAAUCCAGUAUGUUUCAAGGAAUCAGGCAGUGAUGUGGCCUGUGACACCCGAAGUCCCCUCCUAGUUUUCUCUGUGCUUGACAACCAGGAAGAGGAAUAAGAGAUAAUAACAAGGUAAAAGGUUACAUUGUUGAAAUCAGAAGGCUAAGGGACCUCAGAAUGUAACCACGGGGCAUUAAAUGCAACAUGAAGGAUCCAAGGUCUAUCCUUUUCUUCUUCCCCCCAAAGUUUCACAUAUUUACUAGCAAACCAACCCAACCACUACUACAAAAGCUUCAUAGCUAAAAAAUAAAAUUACAUUCCCAGUUAAAUAUUCUCCACCAUCUAGACAGUGGUAACAUUUUCAAUUUGAUGUGACAAGAUGAUCAUAACCUUUAUAUAUCAUAACCUUUAUACGCAUAAACGUGUGCCAUUUCUUGUGUAAUUCCUUACAGACCUAACUUGGUUCUCCCCCAAUGUCUCCUCUUGGAGCUGUACCUGAUUUUAUUACACUGUUCAUUCAAAUACAUUGAAGAAUGGAACAGUUUUGGUUUUGUUUCUUGGCCAGGAAUUACUUAAUUUUAAAUCUCAUGAGAAGACACAGCGAGGAACUGAGUCAAGUGCACACACCACAAGGCUGAAAAAUCCAAGUUCUCUCAUAGAGAUUAUCUCUUAUCAGUCUUCCCCAUCCCACCAUUUCCCUACUGGACUCCCAGGGAGGGUUAAGGAAAGACUCAGGGUUUGCUUUGAAAUAAAGGCAUACACUAGCCAGAGAUGGAAGGGCAGGGGAAAUUCCCUUAGCAAAUUUACAAGGGACGUAGUGUGCCAAACCUACAAUGAAUGCUGAAAUUUAGCUCUCUGUCUUCAUAGCCAGGAAAGCAUAGAAGGAGGUGAGGGGUGGGGAGAGGGAAGAAUUGAUCAUCUUUCUUCUAGUCAUGAGGGCAUUCUGGAAGAGGGCUUUCAGCAGUCACUUAAGUCUAAAAAGUGUGUGUGUGUGUGUAUGUGUGUCUGUCUGUCUAUUUAUCUGUCUCUAGGAGAGUAUAUAGGUUCAGUUUGAUGUGACUGCAGCCAUCUUGAGUUGUAACUGUCAUGACUGCCCCAGAGUAGCCCUAGUUGGCUUUUUCUGCACACCUCUCAGCAAAGUAUAAACAGACAAACAAUUAGAGUGGUAUGUGGAGCGUUAAAAAACUGGACCCUGGCACCAGGAAUAUGCCUUAUACUAGCUUAAGAUAAGCUUAAGAUAUGCCUAGAAUGAGGUCAUCUUUGUUCUAAAAUUAUAUACAUCCUUCCUUCUGACCCAAAUUUCAGGGGUUCAACUGGU